UGUAAAUAAGUGUAAGAGGCACAAUGUUUUUUGAAAUCAUUAGGUAAGUUUAAUUCUUAAAUUUACAA
rnacentral:tRNA from 1 species